rnacentral:rRNA from 1 species
GAUGAACGCUGGCGGCGUGCCUAAUACAUGCAAGUCGAGCGAACGGACGAGAAGCUUGCUUCUCUGAUGUUAGCGGCGGACGGGUGAGUAACACGUGGAUAACCUACCUAUAAGACUGGGAUAACUUCGGGAAACCGGAGCUAAUACCGGAUAAUAUUUUGAACCGCAUGGUUCAAAAGUGAAAGACGGUCUUGCUGUCACUUAUAGAUGGAUCCGCGCUGCAUUAGCUAGUUGGUAAGGUAACGGCUUACCAAGGCAACGAUGCAUAGCCGACCUGAGAGGGUGAUCGGCCACACUGGAACUGAGACACAGUCCAGACUCCUACGGGAGGCAGCAGUAGGGAAUCUUCCGCAAUGGGCGAAAGCCUGACGGAGCAACGCCGCGUGAGUGAUGAAGGUCCUCGGAUCGUAAAACUCUGUUAUUAGGGAAGAACAUAUGUGUAAGUAACUGUGCACAUCUUGACGGUACCUAAUCAGAAAGCCACGGCUAACUACGUG